CUGACCAGGGCUCCCUGACCUAUACAGGCCUCUGCUAUGGGGGUGAUGGCCAGUCCUGGUGUCUGAGUGAUUCCCAGGGCCCAGCAAAGGGACCAAGUCUCCAGAGCCCUGAAGACAAGGGGUAACACUCCAAAAUAUGGACUCAUUUUCCACUCCACCUUCAUUGGCCGAGCAGCCGCCAAGAACAAAGGCCGCAUCUCCCGAUACCUGGCAAACAAAUGCAGUAUUGCCUCACGAAUCGAUUGUUUCUCUGAGGUGCCCACGAGUGUAUUCGGGGAGAAGCUUCGAGAACAAGUUGAAGAGCGACUGUCCUUCUAUGAGACUGGAGAGAUACCACGAAAGAAUCUGGAUGUCAUGAAGGAAGCAAUGGUUCAGGCAGAGGAAGCGGCUGCUGAGAUUACUAGGAAGCUGGAGAAACAGGAGAAGAAACGCUUAAAGAAGGAAAAGAAACGGCUGGCUGCACUUGCCCUCGCGUCUUCAGAAAACAGCAGUAGUACUCCAGAGGAGUGUGAGGAAGGAGAUAGGUGCUGAACUUGCUCAAGAGCCCAGAGAGCUGGUUGUAGCUCACACUCGUUCCCUGGGCAUGUGUGUUCUGUCCUCGGCUGCCUCCCAGGAGUCCUCAACCUGGGGAGACGAGUGAAAAACCCAAAAAGAAGAAAAAGCAAAAGCCCCAGGAGGUUCCUCAGGAGAAUGGAAUGGAAGACCCACCUAUCUCUUUCUCCAAACCCAAGAAAAAGAAAUCUUUCUCCAAGGAGGAGUUGAUGAGUAGCGAUCUUGAAGAGACCGCUGGCAGCACCAGUAUUCCCAAGAGGAAGAGGUCUACACCCGAGGAGGAAACAGUUAAUGACCCUGAAGAGGCAGGCCACAGAAGUGGCUCCAAGAAAAAGAGGAAAUUCUCCAAAGAGGAGCCGGUCAGUAGUGGGCCUGAAGAGGCGGCUGGCAAGAGCACCUCCAAGAAGAAGAAAAAGUUCCAUAAAGCAUCCCAGGAAGAUUAGAAUGCAAAUGGACAUUCUCUGGGAGGUGGGGCAUACCAUAGCCCAAGGUGACAUUUCCCACCCUGUGCCGUGUUCCCCAAUAAAAAUAAAUUCACAAGA
rnacentral:sRNA from 1 species